GUCCACACCGUAAACGUUGGGCGCUAGGUGUGGGACUCAUUCCACGAGUUCCGUGCCGCAGCUAACGCAUUAAGCGCCCCGCCUGGGGAGUACGGCCGCAAGGCUAAAACUCAAAGGAAUUGACGGGGGCCCCGCACAAGCGGCGGAGCAUGCGGAUUAAUUCGAUGCAACGCGAAGAACCUUACCUGGGUUUGACAUAUGCGAGAACUCUCUAGAGAUAGAGGGCUCUUUGGACACUCGCAUACAGGUGGUGCAUGGCUGUCGU
rnacentral:rRNA from 1 species